UUUGCCAUACUUCCACGAGUCUGACUCGUGGUAAAAAAUUUGUGCCCUGACAUACUUCCACGAGUCUAGCUCGUGGUAAAAAAUUUUUGCAUUGACAUAUUUUUUUCCUAAAUAAAUCUUUUUCUCCACUUAUAAUCCUUUUUAAGACAUUUUAAAAAAUUGGUUUUAAAAUUUUUUACUUUUUUUACACACCAAAAAUUUCACAAUUCAGGUAGGUUAAGGGGUUAACCC
rnacentral:misc_RNA from 1 species